rnacentral:rRNA from 1 species
GACGAACGCUGGCGGCGUGCCUAAUACAUGCAAGUAGAACGCAGUUGCGAACGGGUGUGUAACGCGUAGGUAACCUCCUCAUAGCGGGGGAUAACUAACGGAAACGAUUGCUAAUACCGCAUACUGUGAGAUGGACCUGCGUUGCUUUUGCGUGUUGGUGGGGUAAAGGCACACCAAGGCGACGAUACAUAGCCUGCCUGGGAGGGUGAUCGGCCAAACUGGGACUUGGACACGGCCCCGGAUCCUACGGGAGGGAGCAGGGGGGGAACUUCGGACAUGGGCGGAAGUCUUACCGAGCAAAGGCGCGUGAGUGGAGAAGGUUUUCGGGUCGUUAAGCUCCGUUGAUAGGGGAGCGGUACCUGCCCAGAAAGGAACGGCUAACUACGUGCCAGCAGCCGCGGUAAUAC